rnacentral:misc_RNA from 1 species
AAGGGGUGAAAGAAGUGGUGCAGAACUGUACAAGACUGAGGGAGAUAAAUUUGAAGUGGUGUGAUAACAUCAAUGUUGAUAUUGUAGCACGGAUGGUGUUUUCAAGGCCAUCAUUGAGGAAAAUUAUACCACCAUGUGAUUUUACUUCUACUGAUAAGCAAACUAUAUUUUUCUUGCGUCACGGAUGUUUGAUCUGUAAAGGAUAGUUUCUGCAGCACUUGGGAUGG